GCCUAGUUAGCUUAGUUGGUAGCGCGUCUGCCUUGUAGGCACUAGGUCGCGGGUUCGAUUCCCGCUCGGGGCG
rfam:Asian citrus Psyllid, Diaphorina citri - Florida Strain, whole genome shotgun sequence.